GUUAAGAUAAUGGAGGCUCCCAGUGUCAUCUGGUCCCAGGCUGAUGCUUGACAGGUAAAACUGGAAUUUGCUGCCCCAAACUAUAGUAAUUCUCCGGAAUUUUUUGCUUUGCUUGUGCAGAGAAAAGGAAUACACCAAAAAGGUAGAAGCUCAAAUAUAGGAGGUGCUGCCGUACUGCUGUGGUCUGAGUGAAUAGGUGCCCCUUUAAGUUACAAAUGUCACUUGCCUACAUCCUGGACUCCUCCACAUUCUAAUGAGAGUAUUGGGACAGACAUCACAUGAGGCUUAAUCUGGAAGAACUAGAAAAAAAACAAUGCACGCAGUGUACAAGUCAUCAGGGGCCCUCGUUUAGCCAGCAGCAUCCUUUUCUGGUCUUUGGGUUUCACAAAAUAAUAGAGGAAAAAGACAUACUCUGAAGAAAUCCCAAAACAGGAAGAGAAGGAGCAGGAGGAGAGGAAGCACAACACUCACAGUGCCCAGGAAAGUGGUGAUGGUGAAGAAGUUGUUUAAAAGAGCUCAGAUAUCUCCCCUGCAAAAGCAACUGCCUGAGGAGUCUACAGCAGGUGAAUAGUUUUCAAGGUCUUUUAAUUUGGAUAAAAUGACCAAAGAGGAGGAGGAUGCUUGUGACUUUAGUACAAACGACAUGUAACAGAACCUGGUUUCUUAAUGU
rnacentral:lncRNA from 1 species